GAGUAUGGAAGAAAGAUGCAAUUGUAUCGUCUGGAGAUGAGCCUGCGGUCCAUUAGCUUGUUGGUAGGGUAAAGGCCUACCAAGGCGACGAUGGAUAGCCGGCCUGAGAGGGUGAUCGGCCACACUGGGACUGAGACACGGCCCAGACUCCUACGGGUGGCAGCAGCUAAGAAUCUUCCGCAAUGGGCGAAAGCCUGACGGAGCGACGCCGCGUGAACGAGGAAGGCCGAAAGGUUGUAAAGUUCCUUUCUUAGGGAAGAAUAAUGCAAGGAGUGGAAAGCUUUGCAGAUGACAUUAACUGAGGAAUAAGCCCCGGCCAAUUACGUGCCAGCAGCCGCGGUAAUACGUAUGGGGCGAGCGUUGUUCGGAAUUAUUGGGCGUAAAGGGCGUAUAGGCGGUUUUAUAAGCCUGGUGUGAAAUACCACAGCUCAACUGUGGAUACGCGCUGGGAACUGUAAGACUAGAGUUCAGGAGGGGAAGCUGGAAUUCCUGGUGUAGGGGUGAAAUCUGUAGAUAUCAGGAAGAACACCGAUGGCGAAGGCAAGCUUCUAGCCAUGGACUGACGCUGAGGCGCGAAAGCGUGGGGAGCGAACAGGAUUAGAUACCCUGGUAGUCCACGCCCUAAACGGUGCGUACUAGGUGUGGGUGGCGAUAGUCAUCCGUGCCGUAGGGAAACCAUUAAGUACGCCGCCUGGGGAGUACGGCCGCAAGGUUGAAACUCAAAUGAAUUGACGGGGGCCCGCACAAGCGGUGGAGCAUGUGGUUUAAUUCGACGCUACGCGCAGAACCUUACCUAGGCUUGACAUGUUAGUGGUAGGAACCCGAAAGGGUGACGACCUACUCUUCGGAGUAGGGGCUUUCACAGGUGCUGCAUGGCUGUCGUCAGCUCGUGCCGUGAGGUGUUGGGUUAAGUCCCGCAACGAGCGCAACCCUCAUCCUUUGUUGCCCUUAACGGGGCUCUCUAAGGAAACUGCCGGCGAAGAGCCGGAGGAAGGUGGGGAUGACGUCAAGUCCGCAUGGCCCUUAUGCCUAGGGCUACACGCGUGCUACAAUGGCAGAUACAAAGGGUGGCCAAGCCGCGAGGUGGAGCCAAUCUCAUAAAGUCUGUCCAAGUUGGGAUCGGAGUCUGCAAUUCGACUCCGUGAACCUGGAAUCGCUAGUAAUCGUGGAUCAGAACGCCACGGUGAAUACGUUCCCGGGCCUUGUACACACCGCCCGUCACACCACGAAAGUCUGUUGUACCCGAAGUGGGUGAGCCAACCAGCAAUGGAGGCAGCUUCCUAAGGUAUGGCCGGUAAUUGGGGUGAAGUCGUAACAAGGUA
rnacentral:rRNA from 1 species